rnacentral:rRNA from 1 species
GAUGAACGCUGGCGGCGUGCCUAAUACAUGCAAGUAGAACGCUGAAGGAAGGAGCUUGCUCUUUCCGGAUGAGUUGCGAACGGGUGAGUAACGCGUAGGUAACCUGCCUGGUAGCGGGGGAUAACUAUUGGAAACGAUAGCUAAUACCGCAUAACAGUAGAUAUUGCAUGAUAUCUGCUUGAAAGUGGCAAUUGCUCCACUACCAGAUGGACCUGCGUUGUAUUAGCUAGUUGGUGAGGUAACGGCUCACCAAGGCGACGAUACAUAGCCGACCUGAGAGGGUGAUCGGCCACACUGGGACUGAGACACGGCCCAGACUCCUACGGGAGGCAGCAGUAGGGAAUCUUCGGCAAUGGACGGAAGUCUGACCGAGCAACGCCGCGUGAGUGAAGAAGGUUUUCGGAUCGUAAAGCUCUGUUGUAAGAGAAGAACGAGUGUGAGAGUGGAAAGUUCACACUGUGACGGUAUCUUACCAGAAAGGGACGGCUAACUACGUG